UACGAAGGGGGCUAGCGUUGUUCGGAUUUACUGGGCGUAAAGCGCACGUAGGCGGAUCGAUCAGUCAGGGGUGAAAUCCCAGAGCUCAACUCUGGAACUGCCUUUGAUACUGUCGAUCUGGAGUAUGGAAGAGGUGAGUGGAAUUCCGAGUGUAGAGGUGAAAUUCGUAGAUAUUCGGAGGAACACCAGUGGCGAAGGCGGCUCACUGGUCCAUUACUGACGCUGAGGUGCGAAAGCUAGGGGAGCAAACGGG
rnacentral:rRNA from 1 species